rnacentral:rRNA from 1 species
AUUGAACGCUGGCGGAAUGCUUUACACAUGCAAGUCGAACGGCAGCACGGGGCAACCUGGUGGCGAGUGGCGAACGGGUGAGUAAUACAUCGGAACGUGCCCAAUCGUGGGGCAUAACGUAGCGAAAGUUACGCUAAUACCGCAUACGAUCUACGGAUGAAAGCGGGGGAUCGCAAGACCUCGCGCGAAUGGAGCGGCCGAUGUCAGAUUAGGUAGUUGGUGGGGUAAAGGCUCACCAAGCCAACGAUCUGUAGCUGGUCUGAGAGGACGACCAGCCACACUGGAACUGAGACACGGUCCAGACUCCUACGGGAGGCAGCAGUGGGGAAUUUUGGACAAUGGGCGCAAGCCUGAUCCAGCCAUUCCGCGUGCAGGAUGAAGGCC